rnacentral:sRNA from 1 species
CAAGUAGGUAGUAAUUUCUAAAAGUUAAUAAAGAUUAAAAAAUAUUUAAUAAUUUGGAUUUAAGUUUUUAGGAAUACAAUCCGUUUUCAAAGCGAUCCAAGCUGAACUUGGCCACAACUCGCUUAUCGACUGGGGACAAGGAUCAGAAACAGGACGAGUACCAAAACCAAAACCAGGACCAGAACGAAGACGAUUUGAUGAAGUGCACGCCAUGUGCACAAAUGCACACAUGUGGCUCAUUGACAGACUGGGAAAAGGAUACAUAGAUGGAUGAGUGGGGCUCUGGACUGGGAAAAUGGUCAGGGCUCCAACGAAAACUAUGCAAAUAAGGAAGGAUACGUCUGACAAGUCGGGAGUCGGGAGUCGACGUCUCAGUCCGCUCGGCUCAGGUUUCCCUUCAUUUAUCUUGGCUUAUUAAAUUGAAUAUAUGGC